rnacentral:lncRNA from 1 species
CAAGUUCUAAAUCAAUAUAUCCACUGUCGCUUCAAUAAAGAUUAACACACAAUCCAAGAUGUUAGCUACGCAUCCAAGACGAAUAAGCACAACCAAUACGAAGAAAUCAAACAUUCAUCACAUAAAUAAUUAAGGCAAAUCAACUACUGAAAUCCAUAUAUAAAUCCGCUAGAAUCCCACGAUAAUGAUUAGCUCAUAAUCGAACUUCUCAUCAUCAUGGGUUCGAAUGUAAACAUGGUACUGAACAUGAAAAACAAAGUUAAAGUACGAGAAUAAGAGUUAAGAAACAAAUCCGAAACGAGCAUCCAAAGUUACGCCUACUUCGAAGAAUUACAAAAGU